rnacentral:rRNA from 1 species
ACCACCACAUUACUCUGAAUAUACCAACCUCAUUUGAUGUUGGAAAGCUAAUCAGGGUCAGGCCUGGUUAGUACCUGAAGAAGAGACUGCCAAGGAAUACUAAAGAUAUUUCAGGUA